rnacentral:lncRNA from 1 species
CACUUCCUUCCUGGGGAACAGGACAGCUAAUGGCCUGUCGCCUGCUUCCAGCGUGAGGUGACAGCAGAGAAAACACAGCCGCACACAGCCCCAGACCCCAAAGCUCCUCUCAACCAUCAGGCCCCAAACAGGACAACUCGACAGCUCAACCUGCCUGCACACAACCUCAGCUCUGUCCUGCCCAAGCCAGCCUUCACCUUGAGAACUGAAAAGUUGACACUGAACAGAUUUUCCUCCAGAGUCCUCGACACAAAAGCUACAUCUGAGAGCGUUUAACUCCAAACUCCAAAGAUGCAAACAGUCAAGAGAACCCAGGAAGAGUGAGGCCUGCACAGCACAGUGCAGGGGCCCUCAGGACAGAAGCCCUAGAGGCCUGGAUAGCAC